rnacentral:rRNA from 1 species
AAGACCUUGCGCUUUUGGAGCGGCCGAUGCCUGAUUAGCUUGUUGGUAAGGUAAAAGCUUACCAAGGCUUCGAUCAGUAGCUGGUCUGAGAGGACGACCAGCCACACUGGGACUGAGACACGGCCCAGACUCCUACGGGAGGCAGCAGUGGGGAAUUUUGGACAAUGGGGGCAACCCUGAUCCAGCCAUGCCGCGUGAGUGAAGAAGGCCUUCGGGUUGUAAAGCUCUUUCAGCCGGAACGAAACGGUCACGGCUAAUACCUGUGACUACUGACGGUACCGGAAGAAGAAGCACCGGCUAACUACGUGCCAGCAGCCGCGGUAAUACGUAGGGUGCGAGCGUUAAUCGGAAUUACUGGGCGUAAAGCGUGCGCAGGCGGUUUUGUAAGUCAGAUGUGAAAGCCCCGGGCUCAACCUGGGAACU